rnacentral:rRNA from 1 species
GGGUUGUGAGGUUAAGCGACUAAGCGUACACGGUGGAUGCCCUGGCAGUCAGAGGCGAUGAAGGACGUGCUAAUCUGCGAUAAGCGUCGGUAAGGUGAUAUGAACCGUUAUAACCGGCGAUUUCCGAAUGGGGAAACCCAGUGUGAUUCGUCACACUAUCAUUAACUGAAUCCAUAGGUUAAUGAGGCGAACCGGGGGAACUGAAACAUCUAAGUACCCCGAGGAAAAGAAAUCAACCGAGAUUCCCCCAGUAGCGGCGAGCGAACGGGGAGCAGCCCAGAGCCUGAAUCAGUGUGUGUGUUAGUGGAAGCGUCUGGAAAGGCGCGCGAUACAGGGUGACAGCCCCGUACACAAAAAUGCACAUGCUGUGAGCUCGAUGAGUAGGGCGGGACACGUGGUAUCCUGUCUGAAUAUGGGGGGACCAUCCUCCAAGGCUAAAUACUCCUGACUGACCGAUAGUGAACCAGUACCGUGAGGGAAAGGCGAAAAGAACCCCGGCGAGGGGAGUGAAAAAGAACCUGAAACCGUGUACGUACAAGCAGUGGGAGCCUCUUUAUGGGGUGACUGCGUACCUUUUGUAUAAUGGGUCAGCGACUUAUAUUCUGUAGCAAGGUUAACCGAAUAGGGGAGCCGAAGGGAAACCGAGUCUUAACUGGGCGUUAAGUUGCAGGGUAUAGACCCGAAACCCGGUGAUCUAGCCAUGGGCAGGUUGAAGGUUGGGUAACACUAACUGGAGGACCGAACCGACUAAUGUUGAAAAAUUAGCGGAUGACUUGUGGCUGGGGGUGAAAGGCCAAUCAAACCGGGAGAUAGCUGGUUCUCCCCGAAAGCUAUUUAGGUAGCGCCUCGUGAAUUCAUCUCCGGGGGUAGAGCACUGUUUCGGCAAGGGGGUCAUCCCGACUUACCAACCCGAUGCAAACUGCGAAUACCGGAGAAUGUUAUCACGGGAGACACACGGCGGGUGCUAACGUCCGUCGUGAAGAGGGAAACAACCCAGACCGCCAGCUAAGGUCCCAAAGUCAUGGUUAAGUGGGAAACGAUGUGGGAAGGCCCAGACAGCCAGGAUGUUGGCUUAGAAGCAGCCAUCAUUUAAAGAAAGCGUAAUAGCUCACUGGUCGAGUCGGCCUGCGCGGAAGAUGUAACGGGGCUAAACCAUGCACCGAAGCUGCGGCAGCGACGCUUAUGCGUUGUUGGGUAGGGGAGCGUUCUGUAAGCCUGCGAAGGUGUACUGUGAGGUAUGCUGGAGGUAUCAGAAGUGCGAAUGCUGACAUAAGUAACGAUAAAGCGGGUGAAAAGCCCGCUCGCCGGAAGACCAAGGGUUCCUGUCCAACGUUAAUCGGGGCAGGGUGAGUCGACCCCUAAGGCGAGGCCGAAAGGCGUAGUCGAUGGGAAACAGGUUAAUAUUCCUGUACUUGGUGUUACUGCGAAGGGGGGACGGAGAAGGCUAUGUUGGCCGGGCGACGGUUGUCCCGGUUUAAGCGUGUAGGCUGGUUUUCCAGGCAAAUCCGGAAAAUCAAGGCUGAGGCGUGAUGACGAGGCACUACGGUGCUGAAGCAACAAAUGCCCUGCUUCCAGGAAAAGCCUCUAAGCAUCAGGUAACAUCAAAUCGUACCCCAAACCGACACAGGUGGUCAGGUAGAGAAUACCAAGGCGCUUGAGAGAACUCGGGUGAAGGAACUAGGCAAAAUGGUGCCGUAACUUCGGGAGAAGGCACGCUGAUAUGUAGGUGAAGCGACUUGCUCGUGGAGCUGAAAUCAGUCGAAGAUACCAGCUGGCUGCAACUGUUUAUUAAAAACACAGCACUGUGCAAACACGAAAGUGGACGUAUACGGUGUGACGCCUGCCCGGUGCCGGAAGGUUAAUUGAUGGGGUUAGCGGUAACGCGAAGCUCUUGAUCGAAGCCCCGGUAAACGGCGGCCGUAACUAUAACGGUCCUAAGGUAGCGAAAUUCCUUGUCGGGUAAGUUCCGACCUGCACGAAUGGCGUAAUGAUGGCCAGGCUGUCUCCACCCGAGACUCAGUGAAAUUGAACUCGCUGUGAAGAUGCAGUGUACCCGCGGCAAGACGGAAAGACCCCGUGAACCUUUACUAUAGCUUGACACUGAACAUUGAGCCUUGAUGUGUAGGAUAGGUGGGAGGCUUUGAAGUGUGGACGCCAGUCUGCAUGGAGCCGACCUUGAAAUACCACCCUUUAAUGUUUGAUGUUCUAACGUUGGCCCCUAAUCGGGGUUGCGGACAGUGUCUGGUGGGUAGUUUGACUGGGGCGGUCUCCUCCUAAAGAGUAACGGAGGAGCACGAAGGUUGGCUAAUCCUGGUCGGACAUCAGGAGGUUAGUGCAAUGGCAUAAGCCAGCUUGACUGCGAGCGUGACGGCGCGAGCAGGUGCGAAAGCAGGUCAUAGUGAUCCGGUGGUUCUGAAUGGAAGGGCCAUCGCUCAACGGAUAAAAGGUACUCCGGGGAUAACAGGCUGAUACCGCCCAAGAGUUCAUAUCGACGGCGGUGUUUGGCACCUCGAUGUCGGCUCAUCACAUCCUGGGGCUGAAGUAGGUCCCAAGGGUAUGGCUGUUCGCCAUUUAAAGUGGUACGCGAGCUGGGUUUAGAACGUCGUGAGACAGUUCGGUCCCUAUCUGCCGUGGGCGCUGGAGAACUGAGGGGGGCUGCUCCUAGUACGAGAGGACCGGAGUGGACGCAUCACUGGUGUUCGGGUUGUCAUGCCAAUGGCACUGCCCGGUAGCUAAAUGCGGAAGAGAUAAGUGCUGAAAGCAUCUAAGCACGAAACUUGCCCCGAGAUGAGUUCUCCCUGACUCCCUGAGAGUCCUGAAGGAACGUUGAAGACGACGACGUUGAUAGGCCGGGUGUGUAAGCGCAGCGAUGCGUUGAGCUAACCGGUACUAAUGAACCGUGAGGCUUAACCUUACAACGCCGAAG